GGGGAUGUGGCUCAGUGGUAGAGUGCUCACUUUGCACAUGUGCGGCCCUGGGUUCGAUCCUCAGCACCA
rfam:Ictidomys tridecemlineatus contig038691, whole genome shotgun sequence.